AAAAAGGAAGCUCAGAGCCAGGCGUGGUGGUGCAUGACUCUAAUCCCUGCAACUCAGGAGGCUGAGGCAGGAGGAUCACUUAGGGCGAGGAAUUUGAGGCUGCAGUGAGCCAUGCUUGUCCCGCUGCACUCCAGCCUGGGCGACAGAGCAAGACCCUAACUCUAAAAAAUAAACAAUAAAGCAGCUUAGGCUGAAGCUGGAGCAGAGGGUUAACUGUGAUCAGUUGUGCAUUUCUGGAGGUUCACCCCAGCAGCAUGUGCAGGAUGUACUGGAAGAGGGAGACAGAACACCUCAGGCCCCCGAAUAGAUUGGUCUUUGGGUCAGCAAGACCCAGGUGACAUCCAGACAGAGGCCCCCACCCCCUAGGCUCUGUUUCUCUGUAGGACCUUGUGCUCAUCAAGAAUACAGAUGUGCAGGCAGCCCGCCUGGGAAACAUCAUCCACGCCAUGAUCAUGUAUCGCCGUAAACUGGACCGUGAGGAAAUCAAGCCUGUGAGUUGCGUCAGGGUUGAAGGUGGGAUGGGAGAGGAGACCUGAGUCUGAGCCAUGCUGGGCCUUCCCUCAGGUGAUGGCACUGGGCAUGGUGCCCAUGUGCUCCUACCAGAUGGAGAGGAUGUUUA
rnacentral:sRNA from 1 species